CCUGGGAUAGCUCUGUAGGUAGAGAGAGCAUGAGACUUCAUUUCAGGGUUGUGGGUUUGAGCCCCACACGGGG